rnacentral:rRNA from 1 species
CCCUUAGAUGUCCUGGGCCGCACGCGCGUUACACUGAUGCAUUCAACGAGCUUAUAACCUUGGCCGAAAGGUCUGGGUAAUCUCCAAAUUUCGUCGUGAUGGGGAUAGAUUAUUGCAAUUAUUAAUCUUCAACGAGGAAUGCCUAGUAAGCGCAAGUCAUCAGCUUGCGUUGAUUACGUCCCUGCCCUUUGUACACACCGCCCGUCGCUCCUACCGAUUGAAUGGUCCGGUGAAGCGUUCGGACCGUGGCCUUUGGACGGUUCGCCGUCUGUUGGCUGCGGGAAGUUCGUUAAACCUUAUCAUUUAGAGGAAGGAGAANUCGUAACA